ACCUCGCCAGAAACAUGAACUCAAGUUUACUCUACAGAGAAACAGAAUAUUUACUAUACCGUUGCAAACUCCUCGAUCUGUGAUAAACAUUGUCUGAAACACUGCAGAAGGUAAAAAGAAAAAAGAAAAAAAGCUGUUUGUCUGUAACUAUGGCGAUUCUAUGAAACAGAAUUAUCAUUUCUUGGAAAUAUGCAGAGAAAAUGGAAGAAACUACUUCCCUACAUGAAAAAUGAUUCCAACAACAGAAAGAUGUACCCAUAUAUUCACACGCAAUACACUGUCUCAUAGUGACUUGAAUUAUUGGAAAAUCUACAUCGACUUACAAUUCCAGUGAAAUAAUGGAUAUGAGAUAUACGUAACAGUUGGCACAUC